CAUGAGCUACUCCCCGCCAAUGGCUCCGCCCCGCGCCUCCUCACGGCUGUGCCGCGGGCGAUGUGCGCUGUCCCCGGCUGCACGUCCCUUUCCUCCUCCCGGCAAUGCGCCGCUCGCCUCCUCCCGCCCACAUGCCCCAGUGACUCCUCCCUGCUCGACUCCCGGCGAGUCGUGCCGCCCCCGGUCACGUUGGGACACACCUCCUCCCGGCUCCAUCUCCUCCUUGCCGUCUCCUACUGGUGAAAGCUUCGUCUCUUACUUUGGUUCGUUGUUUUACCCAGCCACAUGAGAUUUACUUUUGCAUCAAGUUAGGACAUCUGUUUGAUACAAUACCCACAAGAAAUAUUCAUGCGUAACGAAUGGUGCAUCCCCAUCUCUCUCUCUCUACUUGCAAGUUUGUGUGAGCCACCUAUUUGUUAAUAUGCUUCUCAAGGUCUAAAAAUAUUUUGUCAGAUUUCUCACACAUUGUAUGAGGACUAUAGUGAAUAAUUUUAAAAGAGUGGAAUCACAGAUCUGAAAGGCCAAUUCAUAUAGACACAAUUAGCUACUGAACAUUGCUAAUGAUGGUGCUAUAGUUUUUCAGAAUAAACCAGACACUACAGGAACAAUAUAGUAGUGGUCAAACUUUGAUAGAGUGAUAAACGAAUUUUGUAUUUUUCUUAUUCAGAUUAAAGGGUGAUCAUUCCCCGAGUUAUUUGCCAAAAAAUAAAAUGUAUACAUGCACCAAUUAAGUUCAAAUCCUCAGGUGGGUUCAAAUAUUUUGUCAUGAGAAGUCCAUAUGUUCAGUUUUGGGAAAGUAUACCCCCGCUGAAAGAACAGGGGAAAGACCGUUUCAUUGACGUCGAGGUCACCCUGAUGCUGAUCACCAGCGCGGCGUUGGCAGUGGCAUGCUGCUGGGCCGGCGCUGCAACUACAUGGUUAAGGAAGAGAUAUGUGAGGUAGAGCCUGAGAUCCGUAGCAUCCAUGACUGUGUGGACAUGGCAGCAGCCAUGGCUCGGCAGCGGUGUUAAUUUUUGUUUGUAGGUUUUUUCUGGUAGUGACACUUAUGAAGAAAGUUAGGUGAUCCAUACUGGCAAGGAUGCCACUGAGUUGGAAGAGUAGCAAACAUAGCACCAAACAUAACAUGUGUUUCUUACUCUUUGUGUAAGGCUUGUUGUCAAAACACCAAACAUAACAUGUGCUUGAUUAAUUCAGUCAAGCCAUUACUUGUCUAUAAUGUAUGAAAGUGUAAUGUUUUCAUGUGUAUUAUGAUGUUUCAAGUAUACUACUCUUAAGAAGGUUGGAGUCAAUGAGGCAUCACAUAAUUGUGUUUGAUACAUUCUUCAGGUUGAGGGUCUGAUAAUGGACGUAAGACAGCUGUUGGAUAGGAGAUUAAAAUAUGGAAGAUAGAAGCAGACGAGGUAGCUGAAGCUGGUAGAUCAAUUGAGCAAGAGCCCCAGAUCCAGGUGUGUUUAUAAUGAGUUGUUUGUAAGACCAAUGCUACAUGGUUCCACUCGGAGUCUCUGUAGUUAUUUGGCUGAUGGUGUGCAUGAGUUUGAGCUAUUUAUUAUUUUGUAGUUCUGACUUUAGAACCAUGGAAGUUUUCCCUCUUUUAUAAAUAACUUCAUGUGGAAAAGUAUUCUUUUCGAGGGAAACAAGGUUAAGAAUUGGCAUUAGUGGUUGGCAGUGAUGAUGAGUUCGCAUUUUAUACCAGCUAGCAAGACUUCACAGAAAUUUGUUAGAGGAAUUGCAAUAUAUUUAUCAAACUUUAUUUUUCUCAUUCCUUUUUGGUUUUAGACAAGAAUAACAGAGAAUCUCAAUGCUUCUACUGAUGCAGUACCUGUAGUAGAGCAUUAUUUAUACUUUGUCACUGCAAAUAAAUAUGGCAAGUGAAAUUGACAUUAUUGCUGUAGGUAUGCCAUUGUCAUCGUACCUUGGUACAAGAACUGAUGAAGGUUUUAAUAGCGUAAGAGUAUGGGAAGCAAAAAACUGAAUCGUCUGUGGUACAGUAACAUUUUGGAGGAUGUGGGUUUACGCAUUCGCUAUAUCCAGAAUUGUUUCUUCGCAUUGGGAUAAAACUAAUGAAGUUAGUUUCAAAGAUGCACAUAAUUAAAGAACGGAAUAUAUAGUAGCAGAAAUAAAGUGAGGACAGGUAUAUACAAUAGCAAAAAGACCAAGCAGCCUGGUUGCUCUUUCAUUUAAGUGGAUGGAUGCGUGCAUGAGUUCUUUGUAGGGGACAAGUCACGUUUUGAAACUAAAGCUAUAUACAACACUCUUUUAGGGAUUAAUGAACUGUUAGUAGCAGAGUCCUUCCUGUGUGAAAGCUAAUACAUUUCUAUGGUAACCAUAUCUCGGUGCCUACAAUUCUAUAAUCUUCUUUUUGUGAAACGAUGAAACCCGAAGUAUUUCUACGUAUUUGCAUUUCUCUCUAAGGCAGGAAGCUUAUUUUGCAGGCAUUUAUGUCAUGAGCCACUUAAUGUGCAACUGAGUGCACACUGUUAUCCUAAUUUUAUUGGUCUAUCUGAGAUGUUUCCUUCUGGUAUUGCAAUAUGUGCUAGGUAAUACUCACAGUUAUAUUUUUACCCUGAACUUACUAACCUAGCUUUGGUUUCUCAGGCUUAAACUAAUCUGGCAGCAGGGUAUCAUGUGCCCGCUCACCUGUUGGUGCGCGGCUGGUGGAUACGGAGAGAUCGGCGAUGAGGAGACCCUCGCCGUCCUUCUGAUUGCCCUCAGUUGCGGGAUGUGAUGGCGGAGUUGUUCUGCAACUGCCCAGGGGUCAUGGAAGAUGGAGAACUUCCUAACGCAGUAUGCGAGCGGGGACGACAGAGAACUUCCUGGCACAGUGUGCCCGCGAGUGGGUUUCAAGACAGUUCAUGGUACAAGGUCAAGCUCAGCUUGGAGUAAGUUUCCAAAUAUAUAACUUGCCUUCAUUUGAGUUGCAUCCACAAGCAGCUCACACUAAUUCCAAUACAGCUUAAAUUGAGUUGGAUCCCUAAUGUUGGACCGUGGACAUAUAUCUAUAUCCGAUUGUACUCUGCGUGUUUUCAAUUCUGAUAUAUUUUAUGGCAAAUUGAUUCUAAAAUUUUAGCUUGAUGUUGAGAAAACGAGCAAAUUUUGUGGUGCACUUGGAUCAGGUUUUAUGCUUACAAUUUCGAGGGGAAACAUUCAAGGUUGUGAUCCAAGUAUCUGAAAUCAGUUUAUCUAAAUUGAGUUGUCAACAGUACAUCCUCUAAUUAGCUUAUCUGUAAUUAGUUGUUUUUAUUAAUUGUUGUGCAUGGGGCACGAUCUCCAUGGCCAACUUUGGUCUCAACAUCAAGUUGGAAAGCUUUAUCUGAGAUGUGUUUUUUAGCUGUGCCCUUUUAUACCUUAGGUUGGUUUCUGAAUUUUGGGCCAACGCUUAUCAUUUAAGGUCAACACAACAUUUUGCUCCAUUUAUGAUUCUGAGAAAGCUGCUACAUAGGGACAUUUGUUGUGUUGGAUUUAGAGAACCGUUUUAGGGUAUUGAUUCCAUUCUAGAAUUUUGACAUUUGGACAGUGUGUACAAUUGAAAGGAAGAGCUGGAUAUGAGUUAUGUAGGUUCAGCGUUUCAAGUUUUUGACAAUUUUUUUUGUUUAUCCUGGCAGAAAAGUGGAGCAGCUGCGUGAAGAGGUUGAUUAAUUGAAGGAAAUCAUCGAGAAGCUAUUACUAUCUUUCAUGCAUUUCAUGUGUAAAAGUAAUUUGGAAGGAUGCAUGGAUUCGAUAGAUUAUGGAUUAACACAGCUUAUGUGUGUCCAUGGAUUGGAGAGAAUAUGAAUACACAUGUAACUAUAGCUUCAUUGCCCACUUAUUUUAGAUUUUUAUGCAGUUUUUGUUGCUUAAAGUUUUAUAUUAAUCUAAUCCCAUUGCAACGCACGGGCAUUUUUGCUAGUAAAGAAUGAGUUCAUUACAGUACCUUAAGUGGUGGUUUUUCUUUCUUGCACUAACAAAGCUUCUGAGCUUUCCUG
rnacentral:lncRNA from 1 species